AGUCGAACGGUAACAGGAAACAGCUUGCUGUUUCGCUGACGAGUGGCGGACGGGUGAGUAAUGUCUGGGAAACUGCCUGAUGGAGGGGGAUAACUACUGGAAACGGUAGCUAAUACCGCAUAACGUCGCAAGACCAAAGAGGGGGACCCUCGGGCCUCUUGCCAUCGGAUGUGCCCAGAUGGGAUUAGCUUGUUGGUGGGGUAACGGCUCACCAAGGCGACGAUCCCUAGCUGGUCUGAGAGGAUGACCAGCCACACUGGAACUGAGACACGGUCCAGACUCCUACGGGAGGCAGCAGUGGGGAAUAUUGCACAAUGGGCGCAAGCCUGAUGCAGCCAUGCCGCGUGUAUGAAGAAGGCCUUCGGGUUGUAAAGUACUUUCAGCGGGGAGGAAGGGAGUAAAGUUAAUACCUUUGCUCAUUGACGUUACCCGCAGAAGAAGCACCGGCUAACUCCGUGCCAGCAGCCGCGGUAAUACGGAGGGUGCAAGCGUUAAUCGGAAUUACUGGGCGUAAAGCGCACGCAGGCGGUUUGUUAAGUCAGAUGUGAAAUCCCCGGGCUCAACCUGGGAACUGCAUCUGAUACUGGCAAGCUUGAGUCUCGUAGAGGGGGGUAGAAUUCCAGGUGUAGCGGUGAAAUGCGUAGAGAUCUGGAGGAAU
rnacentral:rRNA from 1 species